GCUUUCAUGGUGUAGUGGUCAGCACGCUCCGUGCGUAUUCGAGAGGUCUGUGGUUCGAAUCCCGGUGAGGGCA
rfam:Stegodyphus mimosarum contig21235, whole genome shotgun sequence.